UACGGAGGGUGCGAGCGUUGUCCGGAUUUAUUGGGUUUAAAGGGUGCGUAGGCGGCCGUUUAAGUCUGGGGUGAAAGCCCGCUGCUCAACAGCGGAACUGCCCUGGAUACUGGAUGGCUUGAGUACAGACGAGGUUGGCGGAAUGGACUGAGUAGCGGUGAAAUGCAUAGAUACAGUCCAGAACCCCGAUUGCGAAGGCAGCUGACUAGGCUGUUACUGACGCUGAGGCACGAAAGCGUGGGGAGCGAACAGG
rnacentral:rRNA from 1 species